GUUCCUGUAGUUAAAGGUUAACGAUGGUUUUUCAGGCCAUAGAUCCCGGAGAAGGGCCGGGCAGGAAUU
rnacentral:tRNA from 1 species